AGAGUUUGAUCCUGGCUCAGAUUGAACGCUGGCGGCAUGCCUUACACAUGCAAGUCGAACGGCAGCACGGGGGCAACCCUGGUGGCGAGUGGCGAACGGGUGAGUAAUACAUCGGAACGUGUCCUGUAGUGGGGGAUAGCCCGGCGAAAGCCGGAUUAAUACCGCAUACGCUCUACGGAGGAAAGGGGGGGAUCUUAGGACCUCUCGCUACAGGGGCGGCCGAUGGCAGAUUAGCUAGUUGGUGGGGUAAAGGCCUACCAAGGCGACGAUCUGUAGCUGGUCUGAGAGGACGACCAGCCACACUGGGACUGAGACACGGCCCAGACUCCUACGGGAGGCAGCAGUGGGGAAUUUUGGACAAUGGGCGCAAGCCUGAUCCAGCAAUGCCGCGUGUGUGAAGAAGGCCUUCGGGUUGUAAAGCACUUUUGUCCGGAAAGAAAACCUCUGGGUUAAUACCCCGGGGGGAUGACGGUACCGGAAGAAUAAGCACCGGC
rnacentral:rRNA from 1 species